AUGGCGAAAGCUAUACCACAAUCAUUUCCAAACACCGUCCACAAGCUAUGUCGUUGGCACAUCAUGAAGAAGUAUAAGGAAUACCUCGCUUUGCUGUACAAAACGUAUAAAACAUUCAAAGAGGAGUUCACAGCUAUUUUAAACUGGCCGCUGAUGCCAACGGAGUUUGAAGAUGUCUGGGCUAAACUCGUGCACAACUACAACCUGGAGAACGACCAGAUGAUGAUGCAGCUCUGGAGUGAUAGGAAGAUGUGGAUUUCAGCAUAUUACAAGAACAUUUUCUGUGCUAGAAUGGCUUCCACACAACGAAGGGAGAGCAUGAACCACGUGCUAAAGAAAGGGUUUGUCAAGGGGACCUAG
rnacentral:rRNA from 1 species